GAAACCCUAACGCCGUUGUUUUCUUACUGUAUAAAAUGAGGUCUCCACAGCUGCACAUACUAAUCUUGCUCGAACACUCUUCCGAUUAUUCUCUCUGUUUUGUAUAUUAUAUGGCGUUUAUCGUGUUUUACACUGUUUUUCGGUCAGGAAACUAAAGAUCCGAAGGUAUAUUUGAUUGAACUCCCUGGAUGAUGCUUUGCAAAUCACCGAUGGAGCUGAGUAUGAUUGGCUGGAAGCACCGGAGAAUGUUCUUUUCCUAAUAUUAUUAGUAUUUGAUAUUGGGUCAUUCAUAGCGAUACCUAAGGAAUUUUUGUUAAAUAAUUUAUGGAAUGAAAAAAUAAGUUCCUUUGGUAAA